rnacentral:rRNA from 1 species
AGUGAACGCUGGCGGUAGGCCUAACACAUGCAAGUCGAACGGCAGCACAGUAAGAGCUUGCUCUUACGGGUGGCGAGUGGCGGACGGGUGAGGAAUACAUCGGAAUUUACUUUUUCGUGGGGGAUAACGUAGGGAAACUUACGCUAAUACCGCAUACGACCUACGGGUGAAAGCAGGGGAUCUUCGGACCUUGCGCGAUUGAAUGAGCCGAUGUCGGAUUAGCUAGUUGGCGGGGUAAAGGCCCACCAAGGCGACGAUCCGUAGCUGGUCUGAGAGGAUGAUCAGCCACAAUGGAACUAAGACACGGUCCAGACUCCUACGGGAGGCAGCAGUGGGGAAUAUUGGACAAUGGGCGCAAGCCUGAUCCAGCCAUAACGCGUGGGUGAAGAAGGCCUUCGGGUUGUAAAGCCCUUUUGUUGGGAAAGAAAAGCAGCAGGUUAAUACCCCGCUGUUCCGACGGUACCCAAAGAAUAAGCACCGGCUAACUUCGUG